GCAUGGUUCAGGUUUGUAAAUUGAAAUAGCACAGCAACUGGCUGGAAAACAGCUUUGCAGAUAAGAGUCGAGUGUCCUGGUAGAUGAUGUUAACUGUAAACUGGCAAAGAUGGCCGGUGGCCUCCUGGACUGCAUUAGGAGGACUGCUGCCAGUGGGUCAAAACAGGUGACACUUCUCCUUGCUCAGAACUAGUGAGAGACUUCUGAAGUGCUGGGCUGCCCAGUACAAGGGAGACAUGGGCAUACUGGAACAAGCUCUAUUGAGAGUUGCGAAAGGCGAUUAAGGGACUAGAGUUAGAGCUCUUCAGUUGUAAUAAGAAGCUGAGACCUGGGACUGCUCAGUCUCAAGAAGGCUGCAGGGGAUCUUGCCAGUGCUUAAAAGUACCUUAUGAGAGGGAAGAGUACGGAGCCAGACUCUUCUCAGGACAAAAAGAAACAGGUACAAAUUGAAAUACAAGAAGCAUUUAAGCACAGGAAAAAUCUUUGUCACUGCAAGGUAGGUCAAACACUGGAACAGAUUGAUCAGGAAAGCUGUGGUGUCUAUUAUUGGAGAUAACUCAGAACUCAACUGCACAAGGUGCUGAGCAGUCUGCUGUGAGCAGGAGGGUUUAGAUGAUCUCUGAAGGUCCCCACCGACCUCCACCUCUAAGUGAUCCUACGACACUGCAACCUAGUGGCAAAGAGUCAUUUUGCUCUCCAUCUUGACUAAGGACGUGCUUCACAUUAUGCAAUGGUGGUUUGCAAAGGAAAAAGGUAGAAGGGCCCAAGAGAAAUGCCUGGUAAGUUAGGAAACUAGCUGGAAGGUGGUAAUGCAUCUCAGAGAGUAAAUUGGUCUAUGGGACCAAAGCUUUCUGAUUUCUUGAUGGCUAGGCAGGCAGUGACUGGGACUAUGAAAGCGCUGCAGUAGGAGUUCCAGGAAGGGUCCUGCAGGAACUGUUGAUCAUUCACCAAAGAAGCUUCCAGCAAAAACUCUUUCUAUCAUGUGGAGGAAAGAGAAUAGAGCUGUAGGGAGCCUGCUUUGCAGGGCGGUUGGACUUGAUGAUCUCUAAAGGUCCCUUCCAACCCCCACAUCUGUGAUUGUGUGACCUCCAUCAAAGGAAAAUAAAGACUCAAUGCAAAGUCUCAAGUUUAACUUCGGGUCAUUUUUAAGAGAAGACUUUUCCAGGAAACAAGAAUAACUCUGGUUGUGGGAGGGCUACCACUUAGUGAAGAUUAAUUUUAAACUCAGGGAUGCAAUUCAGUGAGCACCAAGCUGAAUUCAGGAGUAAUGGAAAUUUCCCAAAGAUUGGUCUUUAGGCCAAAUAAGAAAAUGAAUGUAUUGCAUUGUAGUGCUUUAGACAGAAAGUUGAAGAUUAGUCCUGUGACCUGCAUGAUUGUUCUUCAUCCAAUGACUUUACACACACACCCUCAUAGGGUAUAUUCCUGUGAUGUUUUCCAACAAAAUUAUAUUAACUCUGGAAGUACUAUUAUUAGCUGAUGUCCAGCAGUAAUACAAAUGGGUUUUAAUUCUUUACUUGACAGCUCCUUCAGGUUGUGCUGUGCUGCUCCCUGUUCUGGCUUCACAACAGAAGCAAAAGGUUUUAAUGUCAGACUUGUUUCAUGGCCCUUGAAGGCUAUCUUUUUCCUCUAUUCUGGUGCUUCUUGGGGAAUUCUUAAGAAUCAAGACUUUAAAAUAUCAUAAAAUAAGGACAAAUAUGUCAUGUUCUAGGAUUCUCCUAUUGGCACGUUUCCAUGUAAAACUUUAUUUUCGGAAUUACUUAAAUGUUGCUUUUGCAGUUUACAUGUUUAUUGGCAAAAUGUUGGCUCCAUCUGUGCAUAAAGUCUCUAUUUGGAAAUU
rnacentral:lncRNA from 1 species